CAGUCGCCACGGGAACACGGAGGGAGCUAGCGUUAUUCGGAAUUACUGGGCGUAAAGCGCACGUAGGCGGCUUUGUAAGUAAGAGGUGAAAGCCCGGAGCUCAACUCCGGAACUGCCUUUUAGACUGCGUCGCUUGAAUCCAGGAGAGGUGAGUGGAAUUCCGAGUGUAGAGGUGAAAUUCGUAGAUAUUCGGAAGAACACCAGUGGCGAAGGCGGCUCACUGGACUGGUAUUGACGCUGAGGUGCGAGAGCGUGGGGAGCAAACAGGAUUAGAUACCCCUGUGUCCCUGUCUCUUAUACA
rnacentral:rRNA from 1 species